CGUCUCAUCUCUUUGCUUUAUUCCAAUUAUUCCUUUUAGAAAUUUUUUUUCAGCAGUGUUCUCUCCGAUGGCUUGCCAAUCGAAAGUUUUUUCGAGCAAGUAAUCGUCUCAUCUCUUUCUUUAUUCCAAUUAUUUCUUUUGGAAUUUUUUUUUAGCAUUGUUCUCUCCGGUGGGUUGCCGCCUCCAAUCGAAAGUUUUUUGGAGCAGCAUUGUUUUCUCCGAUGGGUUUCCGCCUCCAAUCAAUCCUGGUGGCCAUUCCUUCAUCAUCGCCAAAUUCAACAUACAAAACCCUGGAUAUACAAAGCCUCCAAUCGAAAGGAUUUUGGAGCAGGUAAUCAUCUCAUCUCUUUGCUUUUAUUUCAAUCGAAAGGAUUUUGGAGCCGGUGGGUUGCCGCCUCCAAUCGAUCUUGGUGGCCAUUCCUUCACCAUCGCCAAAUUCAACAUACAAAACCCUGAAUAUACGAAGAUAUUAUUGGAAUCCUUGUAGAGGUACAAAAUGUGUUAUCCAUAACAACAACCAAAGGCGUGAAAACGAAUAAGAGAGAAAUUAAAAUAAUCGACAAAGAGU